rnacentral:rRNA from 1 species
UACAGAGGUCCCAAGCGUUGUUCGGAUUCACUGGGCGUAAAGGGCGCGUAGGCGGCCGGCCAAGUCGGGGGUGAAAGCCUGUGGCUCAACCACAGAAUGGCCCUCGAUACUGGACGGCUCGAGACCGGAAGAGGUUGGUGGAAUUGCGAGUGUAGAGGUGAAAUUCGUAGAUAUUCGCAAGAACACCGGUGGCGAAGGCGGCCAACUGGUCCGGAUCUGACGCUGAGGCGCGAAAGCGUGGGGAGCAAACAGG